AAGAGAGCUUGAUUGAAAGACAUACAGGUCGAGCAAGGAUGAAAAUCGGACUUAGUGAUCCGGUGGGUCUGCGUGGAAGGGCCAUCGCUCAACGGAUAAAAGCUACCCUGGGGAUAACAGGCUUAUCGCCCCCAAGAGUCCACAUCGACGGGGAGGUUUGGCACCUCGAUGUCGGCUCAUCACAGCCUGGGGCUGUAGUAGGUCCCAAGGGUUGGGCUGUUCGCCCAUUAAAGGGGUACGCGAGCUGGGUUCAGAACGUCGUGAGACAGUUCGGUCCCUAUCCGUCGCAGGCGUAGGAAAUUUGAGAAGACC
rnacentral:rRNA from 1 species